rnacentral:rRNA from 1 species
GACAGAGGGUGCAAACGUUGUUCGGAAUUACUGGGCGUAAAGCGUGUGUAGGCGGCCAUGUAAGUCAGGUGUGAAAGCCCCGGGCUCAACUCGGGAAGUGCACUUGAUACUGCUUGGCUUGAGUACUGGAGAGGUUGGUGGAAUUCUCGGUGUAGAGGUGAAAUUCGUAGAUAUCGAGAGGAACACCGGUGGCGAAGGCGGCCAACUGGAUAGAUACUGACGCUGAGACACGAAAGCGUGGGGAGCAAACAGG